UGGGGAAUUUUGCACAAUGGGGGAAACCCUGAUGCAGCGACGCCGCGUGAUUUAGAAGGCCUUCGGGUUGUAAAAAUCUUUUGUAUGGGAAGAAAAUGACAGUACCAUACGAAUAAGGACCGGCUAAUUACGUGCCAGCAGCCGCGGUAAUACGUAAGGUCCGAGCGUUGUCCGGAAUCAUUGGGCGUAAAGGGUACGUAGGCGGAUAAGCAAGUUAGAAGUGAAAUCCUAUAGCUCAACUAUAGUAAGCUUUUAAAACUGCUCAUCUUGAGGUAUGGAAGGGAAAGUGGAAUUCCUAGUGUAGCGGUAAAAUGCGCAGAUAUUAGGAGGAAUACCGGUGGCGAAGGCGACUUUCUGGCCAUAUACUGACGCUGAGGUACGAAAGCGUGGGUAGCAAACAGG
rnacentral:rRNA from 1 species